ensembl:lncRNA
AAAAAAAACAAUAGAAACCUUUAUAGAAUUUGUAAUGGAUUUAUAGGUUAUAAUGGGAAUUGUAUUGGUUUUAAUGGAAACUGUAAUAUAAUCCAUGUGGAUUUCUACUGGUAAUUUGUUGCCUUCUAUUUGUGGCAUGGUAUGUCUAGUGGAAACCAUUAAGGACUAACAAUGGUAAUGGUUUUAAUUGGUUAACAUUACAAACUGAUGGUUGGUAAUGGUAUUUGUAGUGGAAACCAUUAAGGACUAACAAUGGUAAUGGUUUUAAUAGGUUAACAUUACAAACUGAUGGUCGGUAAUGGCAUUUGUAGUGGAAACCAUUAAGGACUAACAAUGGUAAUGGUUUUAAUAGGUUAACAUUACAAAC